rnacentral:rRNA from 1 species
UGAGGAAUUUUGCGCAAUGGGCGCAAUCCUGACGCAGCAACGCCGCGUGGGUGAUGAAGGCCUUCGGGUCGUAAAGCCCUGUCAGGUGGGAAGAAUGUCCCGGGACUGAACAGGUUUCGGGAGUGACGGUACCACCAGAGGAAGCACCGGCUAACUCCGUGCCAGCAGCCGCGGUAAUACGUAGGGUGCAAGCGUUAUUCGGAAUGACUGGGGGUAAAGCGCGUGUAGGCGGCCCGUCAAGUCUGAGGUGAAAGCCCCGGGCUUAACCCGGGAAGUGCAUUGGAAACUGCAGGUCUUGAGUACGGGAGAGGAUGGGGGAAUUCCCGGUGUAGAGGUGAAAUGCGUAGAGAUCGGGAGGAAUAUCAGUGGCGAAGGCGCCCAUCUGGACGGUAACUGACGCUGAGACGCGAAAGCGUGGGGAGCAAACA